CYGCACUGUCAUUUAACACAUGCGUUGGAGCCCGAGUGGCCCAUGCACAGUCUGCUGAGAAGGGUGCUUGCUUGCCACACGUAGCAGUGUCACUGAUGGAGGCAAGGGAGGUGCAAGAUGAGGAAUAACUGCACACGGUGUCAUUGGAGAAUCGACGAUGCAACUGUGUCAUGACUUUCCUUGUGUAGGAAGAUGUGAGGUGACACGUCGCAUCAAGGCAAGGCAAGCAACCCUGCGGUGGGAGAAAGAGCACAUCUGAAGCAACAGAGGACAUGGCCCAUACUCUGCUGGAGUAGGUACUUGCAACCAAACCAGAUAAAGUGGUCCUGCAGCGAGGUGCAAGGCUCCCAGAGGAACAGAGGAGAUCUUUGUGGAACCAAAAGGCGUUGCAGAACAGGGAAGAAACUGCCCAUUUCUUCCAUACAGCAUUGAGCAUCUCUGGGUAUUAUGCUAGGCUUUGUGGCUAAAAUCAUGGUUUUUCUACUCUCUUCCUGAAAGAAAAAAUGUGUUYGGUAUUGAAUAUGCUUUGGAAUUUCUCCUGCUUAUAAUAAG
rnacentral:lncRNA from 1 species